CAUGAACAUAGGGUGAAGUUAAAGCAUCCUGUUACAGAUACUGGCAACAUAAUGAAUAUACCUGUAUUUCUAAUUCCUUUUUCUUUUUUAUAGCAUUUUAUCACUUUCUACUAUACUAUACUAUUAUUCAAUAUGUUUAUUAUUACCUGACUUUCCACUUUAAACUGUAAGCUCCACAGAUGAGAAAUUUUUAUCUAUUUCAUUUAGUGAUAUUUUCAUAAUUUAGAAUAAUGCCUUGUAUAUGUACGUCCUUGGUAACUAUUUAUGAAAUGAACACCUUUAAGGCUAUAAGAUAUAAACUGUCUGUAUUUUGUCUCUUGUCCCUGACCAUUUCUGAGAUGCGAUACCCUGGAUGAAGAUUUUUCUGGACACUGAGUUGUUCUUGGAGAUGAUCAGGCAGUCUGCACCCUGGAAGUGUAAUCUAACUGCUAAGGAGAUAUUAUCUUCGUCCAGUUAAUCCUCAAUUUGCUGUUGCGCUGCAGACUAUCUGAACAGAAUUCAUGAUUUGUGCUUUCAAACAUCUGAGCUGAGAAGAGGAGCCUUUGCAAGUUUUAGUACAUGUGUUUUACCAUCCAUAUUCAUGAAGAAAAUCAGCAUGUAUAGAUAAUGUCAUAGAGGAGAGUUGAAAGCCGGGUUGCCUGUCUUCAAAGCUCAUCAUCUCAGUUACCAGGCUGGAGGUGUCCUAAUAUGGAAUGGGAGGAAGAUGGAGUAGUUACUAGGUCUCCCAUACCCGGUGAUGUACAGUAGUGCUGGAUAGCUCUGGAGAGCAGUUCUGGCUGGCAAAGAAAGCAGCAAGGAUUGCUAGGAACCAUCUCGCCAUUCAAAGCUGAAAGUUGGCUGCAGAGUAGAUUUUGGUUUUCCCCAUGGAUGCUGAAAGAGAAGGGAAGAAUCAUUUCUGACAAUUCUGCAUGGCUUCUGCAUUGCAACUGGAUGUAGAAUCUGCUCCUGUUUGCAUCCAUGUUCCCAGGAUGAAUUUUUAUUGACAGAAGAAAAGGUAGCUGCCUCACCAGCCCAAGGAGAUGGUGCCAUAUUGAAGACUCAAUUUUGGUUUAUUUGGCUGGAAGAAGGGACACUCAGCAAUGUAGGAAACCAAUACAUCUUCCAAUCUGAUGGGAUCUUCAAACUCAUAAGAUUUUCCUAAAUGCUGACUGGAGGGUUUGAGCUGAUAUCCAUGGAACGAGAAUGAUUAUUCGUUUUUUGUGUUUUUUUGGUGCCAGGGAUUGAACUCGGGACCUUGAGCUUGCAAGGCAGGCACUGGAACCACUGAGCUAAAUCCCCGACCUGAGAAUGAUUAUUUGUAAUGCAGACCAUUUUCUUGCCUCCAGCCCAUAGAAAACUGUAUUUUGAGAAUGAUUUGAACUGUAAGAUAAAACUUUACAAUCC
ensembl:lncRNA